CCCUUUCCAGCUUUUCCAUCUGUUUCUGAAGGUGGCCAGCAGCUUCUGAGCUUGUUCCCUGAGAACACAGGCCUGCUGUUCAGCUCUUGCCUUUGUCUAGCCAGCUGCAAGCUGCAUGGCACACUGAAGGAUGUAGGUUUCCUUCUUGCUUUGGUCUUAUUUUCAGCUCUGCUAUACCAGUCCAGAGGCUGUGUUCCUCUGCCUACCAUCGCUGCUCGCUGCAUCUGAUCAUCCCCUGGUUGUUGCUCCAGCCUUUCUCUCUCCCUUCUGCUUUUGGCUCCAGCCAUUUGCUUGUAGUGGACUUGGCAGUAGAACACCCCGUGGAGGGCAGCAUAAUUGUGCAAGCUGGAAAACACACAUUGGCAUAGCUGUUAGAGGUUGUGCAGGAGGGAAGGAUUAACAGCAACGAUGGAUAGGUUUUCAGCAGAGUUGUCUGUCAGUGGAAACUGCUGGGGAAAAGAGGGGGUCUGAAGAAAGGAACCUUUCAAAAGCACUGUCUGUUUUCUGAGGAUAUGUUUGAUUUUUCUUUCAAGAUCUAAAACACGUGAAAAAUUAUACAUUUCCUUGCAAUGCCUCAGGGAGCUGUAGGCCAGGUUAUGUGAGAUCCCUUUAUGUGCCAGGCUUCAAAACAGGACUUCAUCUUUGUAUGGACAGCGUGGCCCAGAUAGGUCAGAGUCUGAGAACCGGGUUAGAAAAGCCUUAUAACAAGAAGGUUAAGGGCAGGAUCUCAUUGCUGUGUGUGUUUGUCUUGUGGGAGGUUAUAGAGAAGACAGACUCGGAUUGUUCUUGGAGGUGUGGAGAACAAGAGGCAAUAAGAACAAGCUGUAAACAUGGGAUAUCGUGAUUAGAUAUAGGAAAAGAACAUUUUUGCUGCUGAUCAGAUCUUGAAAGAGAGGCCCCGACUGGAAGGCUGUGGAAUCUCUGACCUUGGAACCAUACACACCUCUCCUGGCUGAGGCCCUGAGCAACAUUCCUCCUUGGACCUGCAAGGGACUGGGUGGAAGCUUCCAAGUUUCCUUUCAACUCUAUGAACAGAUUCCUGGUCUGCAGGAGUCUACAAGCAGUCUUCAGACUCUAGGGUUGGAAGAUCAAAUUGCACUGGGGACACCCUCUGCUCUUCCCUGCUACCUUGAGUGUUACCUUGAGCCUAUCCUGUUUGAAUGACCACUGGGCCAUUCUGAGGCAAACUACUUGGACCUAUUUUAAAGACAAAUGGAUCUGGGGUCCUACCACUCACCUCAGUUUCUUCCCACAGAUUUUGCAGCAGAAGCAUGAGUGGUGUAAACAGACUUUGUCUGGGAAGACACGCUCCAUAGAGUAGACAGGCUGGAGGCAUGAGACACACACCUCCUUCAUCAUGGGCUGAAGAAGAAGGAGAAACUGAAGUUAAAUAACUACAAACGGUGACCACUUGGAAAUACGUGUGCAAGCUGAUUUGCAGAAUUCACUGCUUGUGUUGGAUUUUCUUGAUGCUUUUUAGAGAUUUGUUGGGAGAGUUCAGACUUCUGGCUGACCUAAUUCACUAGUAAUCUUGGAUAGGUCAGCAUUAAAGUUCAGCUGGGACAAAAAUACAAGACGUCCUUGGAACACUCAUGAGAGAAAUGAUUAAUUUGGUCUGGAGCAAAUGGUUCACUCAACUGAGUCAUUUAAAAGACUGGGUGAGCUAAGAAAUACUGUUCAGAGGCUCUGACUUAAAAUUCUGGAUGGGCAGCUCCUGAAAUCAAGAUACCAUAUCUAGCUGCUCACAUGAACGACAUAAUCCAAACCCUAAAAAGAUCACAAGUCUUGGUGUUAAAGCUCCAACUGCUCCAUAAACCUUGUGGUUUACUCCAGUAUGUUGACUUGUGCACGUAUUUUCUGCCAUGACGCGACGGUUCAAACACCAUUUUAUGUAAAGAGCCCAAGGAGCCUCUCUGGAAAGCAUUGACAACAUCAGCUAUUUUAUUAAUGGAGGGACAAAGGGAAUAAAGAAGCUUGGAUAUCAGCCUAUCUGCAAAAAUAGCUUCAGGCUGCCUGCAUGGCCAGAGACUGCUGGCACCAUUGUAGGUAUCUCUGGGGGCUGCAUUUUGCUGUGGUACAAAGCAGAGGCUCAGAAAUGCAUCCAAUUUUAUUGUAACUCUAAUUAGGUUAGUACUCCAGGUACAGAUAUUACCUCAUACAAGGCUGUCUCUGCACUUUUCUUGGGUCUGUUUUGCCACAGUUUGAUUUGAUAGGGUUUUACUGGUGUUCUCUUAUCCCUUUGACGUUUCAUUCAACAUGUGCUCAUCCUGAGUCUCUGCAUUGUCAUCUCAGAGAAUAGACAAGUUUAAUUUUGGCUGUUGCGUAGUGUGGGCUGAUGGCCAUAUUUUAGACUCAAAUAGAGGAAGCAUGAAAGAUAUUUCUGCAUCAGAGAUACAUGGUAUGUCUCGAGGUGAGUUGACAAGGGAACCUAAACCUUUAAUUUGCAGCAGACACCUGGCAUUUGUGCAAAUAGUUUAAUUACCUUUCUUUUUUUGGCUGAGUAUCAGUAAUAUCAGUCCUAUUUGUUUUUCUAUGACAAUGCUUCCAAGAAGAAGAGUUUAAUGUUCUUUGGUUUUCUUCCCUGUGUCUAGAUGGAUGCAUCCAAACAAAAGCCCCAUCUUCCCUACAGCCUUCAGUGAUCUCAACACAGCUCUGCUUUUCAAAGUCUCUGCAGAGAGGAUGGCAUAGUCCUAAACAUUUUUGUGGGCCAAGAAUUUUCUGACAAAACUACCAGGAAGAUGUUAGGAAUAUGUCAUCAGCCACUUCCAUUCAAGGUUUAUCAAUCUUAGACCCAGAACGAUGAUGGAUGUUCCCUAUUUCCUUCAGUUACCAACGCCAAAGCAUCAGCAGAGAGAUGCCUCCCAUGGAGAUGACUGCAGCUGGGGAUGUCUCUAUCUGGUUCAUGGAGGAAUUGGCUAUUUUGGGAAGAGCUGAUCUAUCAGGCAGACAAGCUGAGAGGUUUUGAGUUCAGAUUUUGCAGCUUUUCUCUGAAAUACUGAAGGACAUUUGCUUUGCUUUCAUUUUGAGGUGACAACCUGUAACAUCGUGCACUAACAGGAUCCUGGGAGCCAGUGCUUCAAAAGAGACACUAAUUCCUAUGGGACAGACAUGUCAGUCCUUAGCACUGAACAGAUGCUGAGAUAAGAGCAGAAGGACUCCACUGAGAUGCUCAGACACCUGCAGGUGUCUCUUCUGUCCUUGGUUCCAGCUGCUCCUGCAGAUGCCAAGGCAUUUUGAUGCAAAGCUGUGGCUGGAUCCACGUGGAAGCAGCUGGAAGCAGUGCAGAUGCAGGUGCUUCUGCCAAAAGGGCACGGCGGCACGAGGAGAGGAAACAGAAGAGAUUUCCUUAAUAUAUUUUUUUUCUUUCUAACUAAGUCACAGUAUCAAUAUGGGACUUCUUUCCCUGAUUUCUACUGUCAGUGGGUCAGACUCUGAAUCAAAAUGAAUGAUUCAGCUAUAGCCAGUGGAGACAGUGGCACAGCUGGUCCCAGUCUGGUGCAUCUUCAGACAGGCAGUGAGGCUGCAAAAUGAAUUAGUCUCUGAUUAUGCCAGUUUUUCUCCACUCUGGUCAAGAAUUUAACUGGGUCUCUGACUUUUCAAGAUUUUCAGCACUCUGGAAGGGGGGAGGAGAGAGUCAAGGCAUCCCUGUGACACCCACUUUUAGAGGAACUGGUGCCGACACCUCUAACACCUGCCCUUCUACCUGCUGUAGAAGACUUCUCCAUUCACUAAGAGAUUUGAAGCACACAUUUCCCUCUGUGGAAAGCAAAAAUGAAGCAACAGCGAGCGAAGGUGCCUGGGAUUUGAUGGUCUUUCCUUGCCAUGGCCAUGCCCUGUGAGGAUAACACUGAAAUGUGUGCUGGAUUAGAGAUUAGAAUCAUAGAGUCGUUUGAGUUGGAAGGCACCUUUGAGCUCCAACCCCC